AUCCCGGUCAAACCUUGCUAUUCUCGGUUAUCCCGGAAUAGCAAGGGAUUUGCUAUUCCACCAUUUUGGUGGAAUAGUGCUAUUCUAAUGCUUAAUUUCAAACUUAAUUAAACUUAUAAAUUGAAUUAAACUAAAUUAUAUAAAUAUAAUAUGUUAUAUAUUAUAAUACAUUAUUUUUAUUAUAAAAUUAUUAAUUGUACUAUAUUAAUACAUAUUAUUUAUAUUUAAAUAUUAUAAUAAAA
rnacentral:lncRNA from 1 species